GGUAGUUAGCUCAGUUGGUAGAGCAGUUGACUUUUAAUCAAUUGGUCGCAGGUUCGAAUCCUGCACGACCCACCA
rnacentral:tRNA from 1 species